AUAUCGCACCUAGCUGAUGCACUUCGGUGGCUUCUCUCCCAGUGCCACCGCAUUAGCUGUUCCCCUCUGGAGG
rnacentral:sRNA from 1 species